rnacentral:lncRNA from 1 species
CCAAGCCCAAAACCAAUAGCAGAGGAAGGGUCGGGAAACCCUAACAGCAUAUGGCCUCCAGCAGACCCCAGCAGCCGCUCGUCUCGGAACCGGUACCCCCACGUUCACCUGCAAAACAGAUUCAAAGAGUCCAAACAUUGUAAAACAGCAAAAAAAAGGGGAAAUAAGUUGUUCUAGGUCUAUAAAAAGGCCAAUCUUUUGUAUUGAAAAGGGGAGAUUUUUUUUGGUAACAAAAAAGAAUACAAAGAAAAGAAAACAGAUUCGAAAAUUUUUGGAAAACGGAGGUGAUUAUUUUUUAGUUUACUUUGUGGGUGUUUGAUUUUAUUUACUUAUUUAUUAUUUAGUUUUUUUUAUUUUUUUAUUUUUUACUUAAAAUAUAAAAAGGGAGAAGGAAACUUGCCUUUUUCGCCGGAGUCGUCGAAUUGAGGCCGUCUCUGCCGCAAUCGGAGCAUUGGCACAAGAUGGAACGGCGGCUCAAGGGUUAAAAGAAAAACCCUAAACUGAGCAGGGUAGUUUUUUA